rnacentral:rRNA from 1 species
AGGUCAUAGUGAUCCGGUGGUUCUGAAUGGAAGGGCCAUCGCUCAACGGAUAAAAGGUACUCCGGGGAUAACAGGCUGAUACCGCCCAAGAGUUCAUAUCGACGGCGGUGUUUGGCACCUCGAUGUCGGCUCAUCACAUCCUGGGGCUGAAGUAGGUCCCAAGGGUAUGGCUGUUCGCCAUUUAAAGUGGUACGCGAGCUGGGUUUAGAACGUCGUGAGACAGUUCGGUCCCUAUCUGCCGUGGGCGCUGGAGAACUGAGGGGGGCUGCUCCUAGUACGAGAGGACCGGAGUGGACGCAUCACUGGUGUUCGGGUUGUCAUGCCAAUGGCACUGCCCGGUAGCUAAAUGCGGAAGAGAUAAGUGCUGAAAGCAUCUAAGCACGAAACUUGCCCCGAGAUGAGUUCUCCCUGACUCCUUGAGAGUCCUGAAGGAACGUUGAAGACGACGACGUUGAUAGGCCGGGUGUGUAAGCGCAGCGAUGCGUUGAGCUAACCGGUACUAAUGAACCGUGAGGCUUAACCUUACAACGCCGAAGCUGUU